rnacentral:rRNA from 1 species
UAUCCGGAUUUACUGGGUGUAAAGGGAGCGCAGGCGGUGCGGCAAGUCUGAUGUGAAAGCCCGGGGCUCAACCCCGGUACUGCAUUGGAAACUGUCGUACUAGAGUGUCGGAGGGGUAAGUGGAAUUCCUAGUGUAGCGGUGAAAUGCGUAGAUAUCAGGAGGAACACCAGUGGCGAAGGCGGCUUACUCGGAC